AAACCAGCACCUCAAGUGGUCAGGAGGAUUAUUGGGCCUAAAGCAUCCGUAGCCUGUUCUAUAAGUUUCCGGUUAAAUCCACUAGCUCAACUAGUGGGCUGCCGAAAAUACUGUAGAACUAGGGAGUGGGAGAGGUAGACGGUAUUCGGUAGGAAGGGGUAAAAUCCUUUGAUCUAUUGAGGACCACCUGUGGCGAAGGCGGUCUACCAGAACACGUUCGACGGUGAGGGAUGAAAGCUGGGGGAGCAAACCGGAUUAGAUACCCGGGUAGUCC
rnacentral:rRNA from 1 species